UUAACUCAAAUUUGAAUGGAGUUGGAACGUUUGCCGCGGGGUGCGCUGUUCCGGUUGCCUACAAAUUUGAGUUA
rnacentral:pre_miRNA from 1 species